rnacentral:rRNA from 1 species
CGGGACGGGGUGGAGUAAUGUCUGGGAAACUGCCUGAUGGAGGGGGGUAACUACUGGAAACGGUAGCUAAUACCGCAUAACGUCGCAAGACCAAAGAGGGGGACCUUCGGGCCUCCUGCCAUCGGAUGUGCCCAGAUGGGAUUAGCUAGUAGGUGGGGUAACGGCUCACCUAGGCGACGAUCCCUAGCUGGUCUGAGAGGAUGACCAGCCACACUGGAACUGAGACACGGUCCAG